GCUCCCGGGAGGGUGCCAGCUCAGGCCACACAGGCACCGGUGUCAGGGAGCCAUCUCCAACCACCACACCCCGUUCUCUCAGCCUUGCACGCACACACCAGGCACCACGGAAAGAAAAGGCCCACAGGCAACAGCAGGAGGCUUCAGUGUGGUACGGGGCGCAAUCUCUCACCCUCCACGGAUGGAAUUGCACCCAGGAUGGCCGGCUGUGUUCAUCCCGCCCCCAUUUCUCUGAAACCUCACCCAGGGCCACAGGGAGACACCUGCCCAGCCACCUCCCUCAGACGCCUUCCAGGCGCCUGGGUCCCUCUGUGGCUCUCCCGCCAGGGCCCGGGCGGAGGCUGCUUUGCUGGUGAGACGCUGUGACACAGAGGAUGGUCGAGUUCCAAGACCCACUACUCCUCAGGCUCUUCCGGAGCUCUGUGUCGAAUCUGUUGCUGUUUCCCCAACAGGACAGCCAGCGCCGGAGCAGCCAGCAAAACUGACAGCUGACCUUUACAGGGAUGUACUUCGCAUCUCCAAGACACACGGAAGGAAUCCUCUUUCCUCCUUGAGCUGGGCUCGGCAUUACACAGCUCUGGCUCAAUGCCGCUUGAUGACAAAAGAUCCAGGCGCCACUGGCCGUCUUAAUAGAAGUGCAGGAGGGGCUUCCUCAGGGACCUCGGAGCCACCCAACUGCUGGAGCAUCCCGUCCUCCGGUUCUCACCGUGUGGCAAACGAAAGCAGUCGCGCUGGCCGGGGCUGGGUGUGGAGGCACAGGCCUGCUCGCCGCUGCUGCUGGGGUGUGGUCUCCCUUCUGCUCACGGACGGACCUGAGCAGUGGCCCAGGAGCAAACAGGGCUCCCCCAUGAGGGUGGCCACGUGCCACCUCCCUUCUGCUCAUGGUGGGGUCUCCCUUCUGCUCACGGAGGGGCCCUGGAGUUUCAGGCAGGAGAAAUGCUUCCAAUUUAAAACAGCAGAUCAAUGUGGGAGUGGCACGGACGCUGUAACUGAGUGAAACAGCAGCUGGAGCAGAUGGCAUUUGGCACCGUUGGGUCCCGCUGUGGCCGUCAGCACUGGGACGUCGGAGCCACGGGAGAAUCUGGGAAGGUCUGGCCUGCAGAGCAGUGGCCCCGACUGUCCCCGGCAGUGCGAUGUCUGCGGCUGGCGGAUCCAGGUCGAUCUUGCAUCCUAGGAAGCUUCCACCACGAACGCCAACCCAGGAAGCCGCUGCUCUUACUUGAAGUUAUCAGAGCGGCAGGUUUACUCUUCCAGGGGACUAAACCCAGCGGGAACCCCAGACCUACAGCCAGUCAUCAGACCGUCAACAGAUGAAAUCCUCAAAAAUACAUGAUCCCUUUUGUGUUUGCCUCAGGUGUACAAUGAAGUCUGAAUUCCAAGUUUAAACAAAGAAAAACUUGGGGUCCGAAGUGAAACCGGACACCCCCCGAGUUAAUGCCAACACUUUCUAUGUCACGUUCCGGGCAGAGAGGCUGUUAGGCAGUCCAUGGCUAGGCAGCUCCUGGCUUCCCCAACAGGCAUCCGUCCGGUACCCAGGCCUCCCCGGCAGCCUCGGUGUGUGCCUUGCUGCGUUUCUGUCCCUCCUCCCGGGACAAAGGCAGUUGGCCGUGCAGCGUGGAGCAGAGGGGCUGUCUUGACACAUUCCUCGAGAUGCUGAGCUCCAACCUCCUCCCCACGCCCAACAGGGAGGCCUGGGGAGAGGAGGUGGUGCCAAGGGAGAAGGAAAUGAAAGCAAAGAAUUCCCAGAAUCAUACAA